rnacentral:rRNA from 1 species
AGCGCAGACGGUUAUUUAAGCAAGAUGUGAAAGCCCCGGGCUCAACCUGGGAACUGCGUUUUGAACUGGGUAACUAGAGUGUGUCAGAGGGGGGUAGAAUUCCACGUGUAGCAGUGAAAUGCGUAGAGAUGUGGAGGAAUACCGAUGGCGAAGGCAGCCCCCUGGGAUAACACUGACGCUCAUGCUCGAAAGCGUGGUAGCAAACA